GUAGGUGGCAAGCGUUGUCCGGAAUUAUUGGGCGCAAAGCGCGCGCAGGCGGUCCUUUAAGUCUGAUGUGAAAGCCCACGGCUCAACCGUGGAGGGUCAUUGGAAACUGGGGGACUUGAGUACAGAAGAGGAAAGCGGAAUUCCAAGUGUAGCGGUGAAAUGCGUAGAGAUUUGGAGGAACACCAGUGGCGAAGGCGGCUUUCUGGUCUGUAACUGACGCUGAGGCGCGAAAGCGUGGGGAGCAAACAGGGAUUAGAUACCCUGGUAGUCCACGCCGUAAACGAUGAGUGCUAAGUGUUAGGGGGUUUCCCGCCCCUUAGUGCUGCAGCUAACGCAUUAAGCACUCCGCCUGGGGAUACGGCCGCAAGGCUG
rnacentral:rRNA from 1 species